GACGAACGCUGGCGGCGUGCUUAACACAUGCAAGUCGAACGGAAAGGCCCUGCUUUUGUGGGGUGCCCGAGUGGCGAACGGGUGAGUAACACGUGAGUAACCUGCCCUUGACUUUGGGAUAACUUCAGGAAACUGGGGCUAAUACCGGAUAGGAGCUCCUGCUGCAUGGUGGGGGUUGGAAAGUUUCGGCGGUUGGGGAUGGACUCGCGGCUUAUCAGCUUGUUGGUGGGGUAGUGGCUUACCAAGGCAUUGACGGGUAGCCGGCCUGAGAGGGUGACCGGCGACAUGGGGACUGAGAUACGGCCCAGACUCCUACAGUGGGCAACGGUGGAGAGUAUGGCACAAUGGGCGGAAGCCUGAUGCAGCAACGCCGCGUGCGGGAUGACGGCCUUCGGGUUGUAAACCGCUUUCGCCUGUGACGAAGCGUUAGUGACGGUAAUGGGUGAAGAAGCACCGGCUAACUACGUG
rnacentral:rRNA from 1 species